rnacentral:rRNA from 1 species
UACGUAGGGGGCUAGCGUUGUCCGGAAUCAUUGGGCGUAAAGCGCGUGUAGGCGGUCCGGUAAGUCUGCUGUGAAAGUCGGGGGCUCAACCCUCGGAUGCCGGUGGAUACUGUCGGGCUAGAGUCCGGAAGAGGCGAGUGGAAUUCCAGGUGUAGCGGUGAAAUGCGUAGAUAUCCGGAGGAACACCGGUGGCGAAGGCGGCUUCCUGGAUCGACACUGACGCUGAGGCGCGAAAGCUAGGGGAGCAAACGGG